UACGUAGGGGGCUAGCGUUGUCCGGAAUCAUUGGGCGUAAAGCGCGUGUAGGCGGUCCGGUAAGUCCGCUGUGAAAGUCGAGGGCUCAACCCUCGAAUGCCGGUGGAUACUGUCGGGCUAGAGUACGGAAGAGGCGAGUGGAAUUCCUGGUGUAGCGGUGAAAUGCGCAGAUAUCAGGAGGAACACCAAUUGCGAAGGCGGCUUCCUGGACACCAACUGACGCUGAGACGCGAAAGCGUGGGGAGCAAACAGG
rnacentral:rRNA from 1 species